AGCAGCCGCGGUAAUUCCAGCUCCAAUAGCGUAUAUUAAAGUUGUUGCAGUUAAAAAGCUCGUAGUUGAAUUUCGGGGUCAGUAGGUUGGUCAUGCCACUGGUAUGUACUGGUCUCACUGAUUCCUCCUUCCUGAUGAACUGUAAUGCCAUUAAUUUGGUGUUGCAGGGAAUCUGGACUGUUACUUUGAAAAAUUAGAGUGUUUAAAGCAGGCUAACGCCUGAAUACAUUAGCAUGGAAUAAUGAAAUAGGACGUUCGAUCCUAUUUUGUUGGUUUCUAGGAUUGACGUAAUGAUUAAUAGGGAUAGUUGGGGGCAUUAGUAUUCAAUUGUCAGAGGUGAAAUUCUUGGAUUUAUUGAAGACUAACUACUGCGAAAGCAUUUGCCAAGGAUGUUUUCAUUAAUCAAGAACGAAAGUUAGGGGAUCGAAGACGAUCAGAUACCGUCGUAGUCUUAACCAUAAACUAUGCCGACUAGGGAUCGGAUGAUGUUAAUUUUUAAUGACUCU
rnacentral:rRNA from 1 species